GGCCCCGUGGCUCAAUUGGAUAGAGCAGCCCCCUCCUAAGGGGCAGGUUGCAGGUUCGAACCCUGCCGGGGUCACCA
rnacentral:tRNA from 1 species